AUGGUCAUGACUACGAUGAGACAUUUGCUCCUAUAUAUAUGGCCCACACGGCCACUCUUCGCACACUUCUCAAUAUGGCUUCUAUUCGCCGCUAGUCUGUCUCUUAGCUUGAUGUCAAGAAUGCCUACAAGUAGCCACCACCUGGGUUCUCUUCCUGAUGGCAUGGUUUGUCGUCUUCGUCACUGUCUAUAUGGCCCUAAGCAAACCACUCGUGCCUGGUUUGAGCGCUUCGUCUCAGUGGUGAUUGCGACUGGUUUUUGGCGAGUGCUCAUGAUCCUGCACUUUCAGUCCACCAUUCAACUCAUGGUCAAACACUUCGUCCACAUGGCAAUCACGACGACUCUUAAGUACAUUGCCUUCGUGACGGCUCGUCAUAGUGAAUUUCGUAUGUCUGAUCUUGAUCCUCUUAGCUACUUCCUUGAGAUUGUUCAUUAUUGCCAAAGAGAAGUAUAUCCAGGAUCUUGCUCGUGCUGCGCUUACUAA
rnacentral:rRNA from 1 species